rnacentral:rRNA from 1 species
UUAGUUAAGUGAAUAAGGGCGCACGGUGGAUGCCUUGGCACUAGGAGCCGAUGAAGGACGGGACUAACACCGAUAUGCCUCGGGGAGUUGUAAGUAAACAUAGAUCCGAGGAUUUCCGAAUGGGGAAACCCACUGUUCGUAAUGGAACAGGACUUAUGUCUGAAUACAUAGGGCAUAAGAGGCAUACCCAGGGAACUGAAACAUCUCAGUACCUGGAGGAAGAGAAAGCAAAUGCGAUUUCCCAAGUAGCGGCGAGCGAAACGGAAACAGCCCAAACCAGAGAGCUUGCUCUCUGGGGUUGUAGGACACUCCACAAGGAGUUACAAAGAAAUUCUUUAGAUGAAUCAACCUGGAAAGGUUAGCCAAAGAGGGUAACAGCCCUGUAAUCGAAAAAGAAUUUCCUCCGGAGUGGAU